GCAAGACUGAAACUCAAAGGAAUUGACGGGGGCCCGCACAAGCGGUGGAGCAUGUGGUUUAAUUCGAAGCAACGCGAAGAACCUUACCAGGUCUUGACAUCCUCUGACAACCCUAGAGAUAGGGCUUUCCCUUCGGGGACAGAGUGACAGGUGGUGCAUGGUUGUCGUCAGCUCGUGUCGUGAGAUGUUGGGUUAAGUCCCGCAACGAGCGCAACCCUUGAUCUUAGUUGCCAGCAUUCAGUUGGGCACUCUAAGGUGACUGCCGGUGACAAACCGGAGGAAGGUGGGGAUGACGUCAAAUCAUCAUGCCCCUUAUGACCUGGGCUACACACGUGCUACAAUGGACAGAACAAAGGGCUGCGAGACCGCAAGGUUUAGCCAAUCCCACAAAUCUGUUCUCAGUUCGGAUCGCAGUCUGCAACUCGACUGCGUGAAGCUGGAAUCGCUAGUAAUCGCGAUCAGCAGCGCGAUUU
rnacentral:rRNA from 1 species